rnacentral:rRNA from 1 species
UGGGGAAUUUUGGACAAUGGGCGAAAGCCUGAUCCAGCAAUGCCGCGUGUGUGAAGAAGGCCUUCGGGUCGUAAAGCACUUUUGUCCGGAAAGAAAUCCUUGGCUCUAAUACAGUCGGGGGAUGACGGUACCGGAAGAAUAAGCACCGGCUAACUACGUGCCAGCAGCCGCGGUAAUACGUAGGGUGCAAGCGUUAAUCGGAAUUACUGGGCGUAAAGCGUGCGCAGGCGGUUUGCUAAGACCGAUGUGAAAUCCCCGGGCUCAACCUGGGAACUGCAUUGGUGACUGGCAGGCUAGAGUAUGGCAGAGGGGGGUAGAAUUCCACGUGUAGCAGUGAAAUGCGUAGAGAUGUGGAGGAAUACCGAUGGCGAAGGCAGCCCCCUGGGCCAAUACUGACGCUCAUGCACGAAAGCGUGGGGAGCAAACAGGAUUAGAUACCCUGGUAGUCCACGCCCUAAACGAUGUCAACUAGUUGUUGGGGAUUCAUUUCCUUAGUAACGUAGCUAACGCGUGAAGUUGACCGCCUGGGGAGUACGGUCGCAAGAUUAAAACUCAAAUGAAUUGACGGGGUCAUAGCUGUUUCCU